UACCGGCUGCUCGAGUGAUGGCCACUAUUACUGGGUUUAAAGCGUCCGUAGCUUGACUGAUAGGUCUCUUGGGAAAUCUUAGCGCUUAACGCUAAGGCGUCUAAGAGAUACCGUCAGUCUUGGAACUGGGAGAGGUAAACCGUACUUCGGGGGUAGGAGUGAAAUCUUGUAAUCCUCGAGGGACGACCUAUGGCGAAGGCAGUUUACCAGAACAGCUUCGACAGUGAGGGACGAAAGCUGGGGGAGCAAACGGGAUUAGAUACCCCGGUAGUCCCAGCCGUAAACAAUGUGCGUUAGGUGUAUCGGCAACCACGCGUUACUGAUGCGCCGCAGAGAAAUCGUGAAACGCACCACCUGGGAAGUACGGUCGCAAGACUGAAACUUAA
rnacentral:rRNA from 1 species